GACGAACGCUGGCGGCGUGCUUAACACAUGCAAGUCGAACGGAAAGGCCCUGCUUUUGUGGGGUGCUCGAGUGGCGAACGGGUGAGUAACACGUGAGUAACCUGCCCUUGACUUUGGGAUAACUUCAGGCAACUGGGGCUAAUACCGGAUAGGAGCUCCUGCUGCAUGGUGGGGGUUGGAAAGUUUCGGCGGUUGGGGAUGGACUCGGGGCUUAUCAGCUUGUUGGUGGGGUGGUGGCUUACCAAGGCGUUGACGGGUAGCCGGCCUGAGAGGGUGAUCGGCAACACUGGAAGUGGGCCACGGUCCAGACGCCUACGGGAGGCAGCAGUGGGGAAUAGUGGACAAUGGGCGAAAGCCUGAUCCAGCCAUGCCGCGUGUGUGAAGAAGGUCUUCGGAUUGUAAAGCACUUUAAGUUGGGAGGAAGGGCAGUAAGUUAAUACCUUGCUGUUUUGACGUUACCAACAGAAUAAGCACCGGCUAACUUCGUG
rnacentral:rRNA from 1 species